CCGCCCAUAGCUCAAUUGGCAGAGCAGAUCCCUCUUAAGGAUAAGGUUCCAGGUUCAACUCCUGGUGGGCGGA
rnacentral:tRNA from 1 species